AUGCAGUCGAGCGAACAGAGAAGGAGCUUGCUCCUUUGACGUUAGCGGCGGACGGGUGAUAACACGUGGGCAACCUACCUUAUAGUUUGGGAUAACUCCGGGAAACCGGGGCUAAUACCGAAUAAUCUGUUUCACCUCAUGGUGAAAUAUUGAAAGACGGUUUCGGCUGUCGCUAUACGAUGGGCCCGCGGCGCAUUAGCUAGUUGGUGAGGUAACGGCUCACCAAGGCGACGAUGCGUAACCGACCUGAGAGGGUGAUCGGCCACACUGGGACUGAGACACGGCCCAGACUCCUACGGGAGGCAGCAGUAGGGAAUCUUCCACAAUGGGCGAAAGCCUGAUGGAGCAACGCCGCGUGAGUGAAGAAGGAUUUCGGUUCGUAAAACUCUGUUGUAAGGGAAGAACAAGUACAGUAGUAACUGGCUGUACCUUGACGGUAGCUUAUUACAUAGCCACGGGUAGCUACGUGGCAGCAGCCGCGGUAUACGUAUGUGGCAGCGUUGUCAGGAAUCUUGGGCGCAACCGUGGGGAGGUGCCUUCUUAGUCUGAUGAGAUAGCCCCGGCUCAGCAUGCACCGUGCUUGGGACUGGGGGCUUGCGUGCACAAUAGGGAGUGAAAUCCCAGUGUCUAGAGAAAUGCGUAUAGGCUGGAGAACAC
rnacentral:rRNA from 1 species